UGGGGCGUGGCCAAGUGGUAAGGCUCCGGCCUUUGGAGCCGGCACCGCAGGUUCGAAUCCUGCCGCCCCAA
rnacentral:tRNA from 1 species